rnacentral:sRNA from 1 species
UCUCGAAAAAUUUUAUGAUCUUGAAAAAUAGAUAGUUCAAUUUUUUUAAUAUAUGUCGU